GGGCCCGUAGCUCAGCUAGGCAGAGCGGCGGUUCAUAAGCCGAGGCUCCAGUCCUACUAUGGGUCUGUAGACCUCCGUGCGGGGGAUGAUAUAACUGGUGAGACCCGUAGGUCGGGGGUUCAAGUCCCCCCGGGCCCACCA
rnacentral:tRNA from 1 species